rnacentral:rRNA from 1 species
UCGACGAAGCCCUUAUUCUGAUUUCUUCGGAAUGAAAAAUUUGGUGACUGAGUGGCGGACGGGUGAGUAACGCGUGGGUAACCUGCCUCAUACAGGGGGAUAACAGUUAGAAAUGACUGCUAAUACCGCAUAAGACCACAGCACCGCAUGGUGCAGGGGUAAAAACUCCGGUGGUAUGAGAUGGACCCGCGUCUGAUUAGGUAGUUGGUGGGGUAACGGCCUACCAAGCCGACGAUCAGUAGCCGACCUGAGAGGGUGACCGGCCACAUUGGGACUGAGACACGGCCCAAACUCCUACGGGAGGCAGCAGUGGGGAAUAUUGCACAAUGGGGGAAACCCUGAUGCAGCGACGCCGCGUGAGCGAUGAAGUAUUUCGGUAUGUAAAGCUCUAUCAGCAGGGAAGAAAAUGACGGUACCUGACUAAGAAGCACCGGCUAAAUACGUGCCAGCAGCCGCGGUAAUACGUAUGGUGCAAGCGUUAUCCGGAUUUACUGGGUGUAAAGGGAGCGUAGACGGAGUGGCAAGUCUGAUGUGAAAACCCGGGGCUCAACCCCGGGACUGCAUUGGAAACUGUCAAUCUGGAGUACCGGAGAGGUAAGCGGAAUUCCUAGUGUAGCGGUGAAAUGCGUAGAUAUUAGGAGGAACACCAGUGGCGAAGGCGGCUUACUGGACGGUAACUGACGUUGAGGCUCGAAAGCGUGGGGAGCAAACAGGAUUAGAUACCCUGGUAGUCCACGCCGUANACGAUGACUACU